rnacentral:sRNA from 1 species
UCCAUCUUUUAUCAGUUUUGCAAGUUAUCUUUGUAAGGAAUUUAUCCGUGUUAUCUAAAUUAUUGAAUUCACUGUCAUAAAGUUAUCAGUAAAAUUCACUUGUCCUAGGCUGGGCGCGGUGGCUCACGCCUGUAAUCCCAGCACUUUGGGAGGCCGAGGCGGGCAUAUCACAAGGUCAGAAGUUCGAGACCAGCCUUGCUAACACGGUGAAACCCCGUCUCAACUAAAAAUACAAAAAAUUAGCCGAGCAUGGUGGCAGGUGCCUGUAAUCCCAGCUACUUGGAAGGCUGAGGCAGGAGAAUCGCUUGAACCUGGGAGGAUACAAUUGGUAAAAUUCCCUUCAACUGCUUUUUUCUCACCUAUUUAAUAGGUUGCAAAUUCAGAGGCUAUGAUUUUGGAUAAGAAUCUUGAGUCAGUUAAUAGUCCAAUUGAAAAGCCUUCUGUGAAUUAUGAGCCUUCUAACCCUUCAGAAAAAGGAAGUAAAAAAAUUAAUUUGUCAUCAGAUCAAAAUAAGUCUGUUUCUGAAAGGUAGGUGUUUCUGCAAAAAUGCAUAAAUUUAUCUAAAUCUAUAAUAAUGAAUUUUUUCUUCAUCACAGUUUUGGAUCUUUGU